rnacentral:rRNA from 1 species
CCCCACUAUGCCCAGCCGUAAACUUUUAAUUACACUCUAAUCGCCUGGGAACUACGAGCAAAGCUUAAAACCCAAAGGACUUGACGGUACCCCACAUCCACCUAGAGGAGCCUGUCCUAUAAUCGAUAAUCCACGUUCAACCUCACCAUUUUUAGCCUAUCAGCCUGUAUACCUCCGUCCUCAGCUUACCCCGUGAGUGAAAUCUAGUAAGCUUAAUGCCCUUACGCCAACACGUCAGGUCAAGGUGCAGCAAAUGAAAUGGGAAGAGAUGGGCUACACUCUCUAGUUUAGAAAACACGAAAGACUACCUAUGAAACCUAGUCAGAAGGCGGAUUUAGAAGUAAAAAGAAAACAGCAUGUUCUUUUUAACCAGGCACUGGGGUGUGUACACACCGCCCG